rnacentral:rRNA from 1 species
CGUAGGGGCGAGCGUUGUCCGGAUUUAUUGGGCGUAAAGAGCUCGUAGGCGGUUUGGCAAGUCGGGUGUGAAAACUCCGGGCUCAACUCGGAGACGCCACUCGAUACUGCUAUGACUCGAGUCCGGUAGGGGAGUGCGGAAUUCCUGGUGUAGCGGUGGAAUGCGCAGAUAUCAGGAGGAACACCGGUGGCGAAGGCGGCACUCUGGGCCGGUACUGACGCUGAGGAGCGAAAGCGUGGGGAGCGAACAGGAUUAGAUACCCUGGUAGUCCACGCCGUAAACGUUGGGCACUAGGUGUGGGGCUCGAUCGACGGGUUCCGUGCCGUAGCUAACGCAUUAAGUGCCCCGCCUGGGAAGUACGGCCGCAAGGCUA